rnacentral:rRNA from 1 species
UGGGGAAUAUUGCACAAUGGGGGAAACCCUGAUGCAGCGACGCCGCGUGAACGAUGAAGGUAUUCGUAUCGUAAAGUUCUGUCCUAUGGGAAGAUAAUGACAGUACCAUAGAAGAAAGCUCCGGCUAAAUACGUGCCAGCAGCCGCGGUAAUACGUAUGGAGCGAGCGUUGUCCGGAAUUAUUGGGCGUAAAGGGUACGCAGGCGGUUUAAUAAGUCGAAUGUUAAAGAUCGGGGCUCAACCCCGCAAAGCAUUGGAAACUGAUAAACUUGAGUAGUGGAGAGGAAAGUGGAAUUCCUAGUGUAGUGGUGAAAUACGUAGAUAUUAGGAGGAAUACCAGUAGCGAAGGCGACUUUCUGGACACAAACUGACGCUGAGGUACGAAAGCGUGGGGAGCAAACAGG